AACAAUUUUCCUAUUGCCUUUAAUGUUACAGCUUAGACCUGCAAGCCAUUGCACUUGAAAGCAAACGUUAUAGAAUGUGACAACUGUUCCAAAAAUACAGUGGCAGGAAAACGUAACUUAGGUUAAAUAAAUGUCCGUAGAUUACACUAGGGCUCGACGAAACGAUCCGUGUGUCACUACCACUCGCUAUUCUCACGCUUGCGCACAACAGACAUACAAUUCAUUCGAAGACAUGGAGUAUGUUCUAGCCAACCAACCCGUUGUUAUUAAUAACGGUUCUGGUGUUAUAAAGGCUGGCUUUGCUGGAGAUGAAAUUUCAAAGUACUGCUUCCAAAUUAUGUUGGCCGGCCAAAACAUGUUUGGGUCAUGGCUGGGGCGCUGGAAGGGGACAUAUUCAUUGGACCAAAGACUGAGGUGGGCAGCAGAUGUUUUAAGCUCUAUGUUGUCUAUGUUGUCUAUCCGUUAACCUACCAACCCACCUUUUUUUGUUCAAUGGUGGGUGUGUUCUGGAGAGAUCCUUUUUUCACAGGAGCACAGGGGAUUACGUUACCCAAUGGAGCAUGUUGAAAGACUGGAACGACAUGGAGAGGAUAUAGCAGUACAUCUACUCAAAAGACCAGCUACAGAUAUUCUCAGA